GACGAACGCUGGCGGCGUGCUUAACACAUGCAAGUCGAACGCUGAAGCACCAGCUUGCUGGUGUGGAUGAGUGGCGAACGGGUGAGUAAUACGUGAGUAACCUGCCCUUGACUCUGGGAUAAGCCCGGGAAACUGGGUCUAAUACUGGAUGCUACAUGUCACCGCAUGGUGGUGUGUGGAAAGGGUUUACUGGUGUUGGAUGGGCUCACGGGCUAUCAGCUUGUUGGUGAGGUAAUGGCUCACCAAGGCGACGACGGGUAGCCGGCCAGAGAGGGUGACCGGCGACCCUGGGACUGAGACACGGCCCAGACUCCUACGGGAGGCAGCAGUGGGGAAUAUUGAACAAGGGGCGAAGGCCUGAUGCAGCGACGCCGCGUGAGGGAUGACGGCCUUCUGGUUGUAAAACUCUUUCAGCAGGGAAGAAGCCACAAGUGACGGUACCUGAAGAAGAAGCGCCGGCUAACUACGUG
rnacentral:rRNA from 1 species